rnacentral:rRNA from 1 species
UACGGAGGGGGCAAGCGUUGUUCGGAAUUACUGGGCGUAAAGGGCGCGCAGGCGGCUGCUCAAGUCAGGCGUGAAAGGCCUGGGCUCAACCCGGGAAUUGCGCUUGAGACUGGGCUGGCUUGAGUGCGGGAGAGGAUGGUGGAAUUCCCAGUGUAGAGGUGAAAUUCGUAGAUAUUCGCAAGAACACCAGUGGCGAAGGCGGCUCACUGGCCCGGUACUGACGCUGAGGCACGAAAGCGUGGGGAGCAAACAGG